AUCACUUCUUGGCCUUUUGGAUAAGAUCAAGUGUAGUAGCUGUUCUUAUCAGUUUAAUAUCUGAUACAUCCUCUAUCCUAGAACAAUAUAUUAAAUGGAUUUUUGGAGCAGGGAGAUGGAGUAAGAGCUUGAGUAAGAGCUUGCUCUGUCCACUCCACGCAUUGACCUGGUAUUGCAGUACUUCCAGGAAAGGUGCAUCCCUU
rnacentral:snRNA from 1 species